rnacentral:misc_RNA from 1 species
CACCGUCAUCUGUGCAUAUCAACGGUUUCUCUGCUCUCCGCCGUCACCCCACACUCUUCCGUCUCGCUGCCACCACUCCUUUCUGCCAUCCCUCUCUCUCCACAUUCGCUUGCUCACCCUUUGGCGCUCGCCGUGAGACGCAUUUACCCUCCCUGCCUUUGCUGUGGCGGUGGUUGUGGUGGGUGUUGCUUGCCCGUGUUUUGGACGUGUGUUCGGCACCUGCUGCUGCUGCUUCUGCUUUCGGCGCUGCGCACAACAUCGAAGGUCACAUCCGCAUACACGUGCGCCCCCUCCUUCGUAUUUUGGCCAACGAACUUGGAGCGUUUCAAACCGCCGCGUGCUGCUUGACUGACGCACGCACUCUCGCAUACUCAUGGAAACACCGGCAGUACAGGCUCUCUACCCCCCUUCCGUUCUCCCUAUCCGACCCCACCUUUGCUAUUCCUUGGCCUUUGACCAGUUACCCACGGCACGUAAUCGCUCUGGCUCUCGUUUCGCCCGCCGACAAUCUGCGCCAGCGCGAAGUUGAAAAAGUCGCCGAGACUUCUCGGCUGGAGUGUUCUGUCCCUCUUCCUCCUCGUCUUCACGGAGAUGUCCUUCACCGAUGCGCAGAGUCCCGAAUACCAACGGGGCAUCAACGACGCGGAGCGGCAUCGCAGGGCGACAGAGGAAAACUGGAUACGGCCCGCCCUCGGCCCCAUCGUAUGGCUCGGCGUGCCAUUCUUGCUGGCAUGGAUGUAUAUGCGCCGUGUCUCGCUGGGCAGUCCGCUCGGCAGCGGAUCCGCCAGCGGCAGCGGCAACCCUUUCAUGAGCAUGAUGGAGCAGAUGAUGCCGAUUAAGAAGCGGCAGUUUCGCGUCGACGUGAAAGGUACAAGGUUCUCCGACGUUGUCGGCAUCCCGGAGGCGAAGGCCGAGGUGCGCCAGUACGUCGACUUCCUCACAGAGCCGAACAAGUUCACUCGGCUCGGGGCGCGACUGCCGAAGGGGUGUCUGCUGACGGGGGAGCCCGGCACAGGCAAGACACUGCUGGCCAAGGCCGUCGCCGGUGAAGCGAAUGUGGCUUUCUUCAGCUGCAACGGUGCGGACUUUAUUGAGCUCAUAGGUGGCAGUGGCCCAAAGCGGGUGCGCGAGCUCUUCGAGGAAGCGCGGGCGGCCGCGCCGGCGAUCAUCUUCAUCGACGAAAUCGACGCCAUCGGCUCCCGCGCUGGCAAGCAGGGCGGCUCCGUCAGCAGCGAGGAGAACCGCACCAUCAACCAGCUGCUCGCUGAGUUGGAUGGGCUCAGCACGAGCGCCGAUCCCAUUGUUGUGCUGGCGGCCACGAAUUUCCAGGACAACAUCGACAAGGCGCUGCUGCGUGAGGGCCGCUUCGACCGAAAAAUCGCCAUUGAGAUGCCCGACCUCUCCGCGCGUCGCGAGCUCUUCGAGCACUAUCUUAACCGCAUCUGCACUGGUGACCCAAACGGCCGCACAAAGGAUGAGGGCGGCAAGGAGCUGGCGCUAGACACUAGCGUGAGCAACAAGGCGCUGGCAGACCAGCUGGCGGACCUCACGCCAGGGCUGUCGCCGGCCACGGUGGCCACGGUCGUAAACGAGGCGGCGCUGCAGAGCGGAAUAGCCGGUAAGCCGCUUGUGCAGCUGCCGGAUCUGCUGGAGGCACUGGACAACACGCUUAUGGGCCGCAAGCACCGCAAUCGCCAGAGCGACCAAUCGGCUCGCCGCACCGCGAUUCACGAAGCCGGUCACGCUCUGACGGCGUGGAUGCUACCGGUUGUGCAGAAAGUGCUGAAGAUCAGCGUCACCCCGCGCGGGCACGCGAUGGGCUACACGCAGCGCGCCGGGACUGAGUUUCACGAAUAUCAAACAAACGCGACGCUCUUCGCCGACAUGGUGGUCAUGCUCGGCGGCCGCGCCGCAGAGGAGGUGAUGCUAGGCGACGUGUCAGCCGGUGCGAUGGACGACUUACAGCGGGCCACUGACGUGGCGCUCAAGCAGAUGCUGGCGUUUGGCAUGAGCACACACACGGGGCUGCUGUCGUACCACCCUGAUUACACUCAAGCAGGGCGGGACUUCACGACCUUUUCCAACGAAGCCCAGUACCGCGCUGAACUGGAGGCGCAGAAGCUGCUUGCAGCCGCCCACUCCACCGCCGUGGACAUCGUCAAGCGUCACAAGGACAAAAUGGAGAUUAUGGUGAAGGCGCUACUGGAGAAGAAGGAGCUGUCGACUCGCGACAUUGAGGAGCUCUGGGGCCCGCGGCCAUCGACGCCGACGGUGGAGGACAUUGUGCACAAGGUCAUCGAGGUGACUGGCAGCUACGCCGAGAUCACCGCGACCGUUGGCCCUGCGGCGGCAGCGGUGGCGACACCGAGCAUUGCGGGAGUGUAUUAAUAGUGAUGAGGUGAGAAGGACAGCAAAUGAAGGGCUUCUUUGCUCGCCUACGUGUGCGCUUGUUCUUCUCUCGUUGGGCUGCGCUCAUUGCUUGCGGGUGUUUUCCCCACACAACGCAUCAGGCGCACGCGCUGCAAACACAACCUCAGGCGUCGGAGGUGGCGCACGCGCGUAUAGCUGUUCUUUGCUUUUGUUGUUAUUUUUGCCUUUACUGCUGCCUUACUUCGCUGUCAUCGCAGUCGUCAGCGUCGUUGCUCGGCAUGUGGCGUUUGUUUUGUUGUACGAAGCGGGUGUACGUGUAUGUGUAUGCGUCCGUGUGUGUGUGUGUGUGUGUGUGUGUGUGUGUGUGUGUGUGUGCGGGCUUGCACACCUGCACGUGCGUGGUUGGCUGGUGUGUCUAUUCGUGUGUUGCGCGGCAGUGUAGACGCUGAGCACAGGAGAAGAGUAAGUGUGCGACAGCGAAGAGGAGUGGAGAAGGGUGAAGAAAGGCGAGGCAAGGCGAAGGCAGGUGUUCACACGUCAGGAGGAGAAUCCAGAGGGCGUGCGUGAAGUGCAUGCGUGAUGCGUUGCGCUCAAGGCACUUCAUUCUCUUCUCUCCCUCACCUUCCCCCCUCCCCCUCCCCUCCAUCGAGCCUCCCGCCUCAUCCCAAAUGUGCAUGCGCGCACACGCGCAUCCUCUCUUGUCUGUCUGUGUGUCGCUCCUUCCGGCAGCGCCGCCUCUUGUCAAGUUAUUCCUGCAAAGCACAUACCCCCCCUCC